AGCAGCCGCGGUAAUUCCAGCUCCAAUAGCGUAUAUUAAAGUUGUUGCAGUUAAAAAGCUCGUAGUUGAAUUUCGGGGUUAGUAAGUUGGUCAUGCCAUUGGUAUGCACUGGCUUUACUGAUUCCUCCUUCUUGACGAACCGUGAUGUCAUUAAUUUGGUGUUGCGGGAAAUCAGGACUGUUACUUUGAAAAAAUUAGAGUGUUUAAAGCAGGCUAACGCUUGAAUACAUUAGCAUGGAAUAAUGAAAUAGGACGUUAAUCCUAUUUUGUUGGUUUCUAGGAUCGACGUAAUGAUUAAUAGGGAUAGUUGGGGGCAUUAGUAUUCAAUUGUCAGAGGUGAAAUUCUUGGAUUUAUUGAAGACUAACUACUGCGAAAGCAUUUGCCAAGGAUGUUUUCAUUAAUCAAGAACGAAAAUUAGGGGAUCGAAGACGAUCAGAUACCGUCGUAGUCUUAACCAUAAACUAUGCCGACUAGGGAUCGGAUGAUGUCAAUUUUUUUAAUGACUCA
rnacentral:rRNA from 1 species